rnacentral:rRNA from 1 species
AUUGAACGCUGGCGGCAUGCCUUACACAUGCAAGUCGAACGGCAGCACGGGAGCAAUCCUGGUGGCGAGUGGCGAACGGGUGAGUAAUAUAUCGGAACGUGCCCAGUCGUGGGGAUAACGUAGCGAAAGCUACGCUAAUACCGCAUACGAUCUAUGGAUGAAAGCGGGGGAUCGCAAGACCUCGCGCGAUUGGAGCGGCCGAUAUCAGAUUAGGUAGUUGGUGAGGUAAAGGCUCACCAAGCCGACGAUCUGUAGCUGGUCUGAGAGGACGACCAGCCACACUGGGACUGAGACACGGCCCAGGACUCCUACGGGAGGCAGCAGUGGGGAAUUUUGGACAAUGGGCGCAAGCCUGAUCCAGCAAUGCCGCGUGCAGGAUGAA